rnacentral:tRNA from 1 species
GGUCUCAUAGUUCAACGGAUAGAAUAGAAGUUUCCUAAACUUUUGAUCCCAGUUCGAUUCUGGGUGAGACUAC